GUAGUGUAAAUGGAUAACACACCACUUUUGCAAAGUGGAGUUGGGGUUCAAGUCCCAUCUAACACCCCA
rnacentral:tRNA from 1 species